rnacentral:rRNA from 1 species
UACGGAAGGGGCUAGCGUUGUUCGGAAUUAGUGGGCGUAAAGAGCGCGUAGGCGGCUUACCAAGUUGGGGGUGAAAUCCCGGAGCUCAACUCCGGAACUGGCUUCAAAACUGGUAGGCUCGAGUCCGGAAGAGGGGCGUGGAAUUCUCAGUGUAGAGGUGAAAUUCGUAGAUAUUGGGAAGAACACCGGUGGCGAAGGCGGCGCCCUGGUCCGGUACUGACGCUGUGGCGCGAAAGCGUGGGGAGCAAACAGG